GAAAGGCCGCGCGGGAAGCGGAGGGGCAGGGACGGGCGCGGUGCCAGGGCUGAAUCCAGGUCACCACCGUGAGGGCAGAGAGCCGGCGCCGCUGCUGGGCAGAGCGGCUGCUACGGUUCUGCACCGAGCUCAGAGCCGAGCCGCACCUCCUGACAGUCGAGAGCGGCGGAAAGGGCCGCCGUUCUGGUCACCGGGUGCACGGACGCGGCGUUUAAAGGUCAAGGUCAAGGUGGGGUUUGGCGAGCGACGGGGAAGCGCGCUCGGGAGAAACCGGAGACACAUGCAAUAGCAAGGCUGGUGUUACUACGACCACCAUCGUCUUAGAGAAAGGAAAGAGCUCCUGCAGCACCGCAGGAUGGAGGCGGAGUGAGCGACAGGCUGGGGGGCCUCAGGCGGGGACCAGCGACGGAGGGGAGGAGGGGGGCACUCGGAGCCCGGCCCGCGGCCCCCGCCACACUCACUUGCCCUCCUGGCAGUCAUACAGCACGAUGGAGUCAUCGUCGCUGCUGGAGAUGACCGUCUCUCCAUUGGGACUGAAGUCGAAGCAGUUGAUCUUGUCCGAGUUCUCGCGGAACACCUUAGCGACGCGGAAGCUUCUCAGCACGCUGUCGGUCAGCUUCAUGGCGGCGGCGGUGGCUGCUGCUGCUGGAGGCAGCCGCGGCGGCGCAGGGCCGGGGCGGGGCCGAGAGGCGAGCGAGCGGGCGGGCUGCUCAGGGCCAACCCCAGCGGUGCGGACGCCGCGCUGGCGGCUAGCGGGAGGGCGGCUGACAGUCGGGCCGCCGCGUCGUCCUCCUCAGGGCACGCUCUCGCGUCGGGAUGACGGGACCUCGCUGACCGUUCUUCUCCGCAGUCACCUCAGGGCCAACCGGCGCUGUGCCGGCUCAUUGUGUUCGCCAUCUUGAAGGGAGAAGCAAAAAUCAGAGGGCGAGGAGCCUCGGCCGCGGCGAACGCCGGGAAAGGGGGCGGGCCGGGAACGGAGGCGCGAGCCGAGAAGGCGGGGAGAUGACGUCAGCGGGGCGGGCGCACAUUUCCGCGGCCCGGGAUCGCAGCUCGCGGAUGUGCAGUGGGAGGCCUGCGGGCGUGGAGCGGAAAAGCCUUUCCGGAGGGCGGGAAAGUUGAGGUCGCCUCGGGACUGGUUCCUUUGUGAGUGCUACCAGGGAGAGUCAGGUGUCCCUGGGGCGGCAGGUACUAGCGGAAACCUCCCCGCGUGGCCUGUUCGUGGGGUGACUCAGGGAACCCCAUGACUGAGGGCCUUGACCUCACCACCAACCCAGGAGGCCUCCAUUUGUUAUUUUAAUGAAGUACAACAUACACAAUUUAAAGUGGGUGACCUGUUACUUAUUUUCAAUUGGAUACAUGCUCAGAAUGUAUGUCAGAGCUUUCUUUAAAUCCUUCUUCAGAGUCAAAGCGCAUGAAGAUAGCUAACUUCAAGUGCAGAAGGAGGGGGAGCCUAAUGAAGGUUCACUCACCGGCAGCUAAUAGGAAGGUGUGAGUCCCAUAGAACCUGGACUGUGGUGAGCAAGAUGAAAACCACGACAUGGAAACACUAGCAAAAUUGGAGUCUUCUUGGAAAUAACUAGGAAUGGAAUCCCACGUCUUUCUGUAAAAACAAAACAAAACAAAGAACCCGAGGUGUCUACAUAGAGAAAUUGUUGGCUGAGAGAAAAAGACGAGACUGUAAGUCUGGACUGACGUUGGCACCUAACAAUGCAGAGCUCCUGGCUGCAGUUUGUUCUGGGGUUUGAGGAGGGGAAAAAAACCGGUUUGAGUGCAACCUGAAUGGAUGGCAACUUUCCAAAUUGCAAAUCGAUUCAAGAAAAAUCUUCCACAGACUGCUGCACUCAGUUCCCAGGGAUUGUUUCUGAAUCUAAAACCGAGGAUACAGUCUGCCGUGAACGCUUGAGGGCAAGGACAGAUCUGGUGCCCUGUUGUGGACCUGCUGGGUGAACUGAAGGACUUUAAAGACCAUCUCUAGUAAAGAUCCUGCAGACUGACUGACUAGUACAUCAGAAUCGUGGGAGAACAAACGUAGCCAAGAGCCAAAUGAUCGUGAUUUUAGGCCUAUUUAAAAAGUAUAGUGUGUGCAUGUGUGCAUGUGCUUUUUAGCUGCUGAGCCAACUAAGCCGGUCUUGCUUUUAGUAGCCAGCUUUACUUUAACUUUUUUUUUGAAGAUUUGUUUUACGUAUACAAGCGCUCAAUCUGCACGCACAACUUUCUGUGAGAAGAGGACAUCAGAUCCCACUCCAGAUGGCUGUGAGCCACCUGUAGGUGCUGGGAAUUGAACUCAGGUCCUCUGGAAGAGCAGCCAGUGCUCUUAGCCGCUGAGCCGGCUCUCCAGCCCCACUUUAACUUUUAACAUCAUCCACAACAUUUAGCUCCAUCAACGCUACAGCUAAGAUGUCUAUGGCGUCACACCUGAAAUCUGGGAUUCCCCACUUUGCAGUUUUGCUGUGGGGCCCAUCUACUUGAUAUUUCCACAAAUAAAACUGGCCAACAUGGUGAUUUUUUUUUAUUUUGGGGGUACUGUUCCGUGACUAAACCUUUAUGAGAUCUCUUCCAGGUAGAACCAGGCAAUUAGGACGAACUGACUCCUCCUUGUUCCUGGACGAGGCUGUUCUUUCCUAUCAGCAGUUGGGAAGCAAACCCACCGAGGAGAUGGCAUUUUGGACGAAGAGGGAAGGAUAAUUGCAAAUCACCGAGAAUCCGCUGCAGGAAUACAGAAAUCGGAGGGCUCCAUACACCUCUUUUCAGGUUUUCUGGUUGUCAGUAAGCCAUGAAAGUUCUAAGUCACGAUCCUGGUCUUUAGAGUGGCCCCAGAUCUGCCAUUUCCGGAUGAAUCUCCACCCACCCAGAGUACUUCCGGUCUCCAGCGCUGGACGCGACAGAAAGGUAAGUUUGCGUCUCAAGGAUAAACAUGGACCUUGGAAGUCAUUCCUGAUCCGGACGGAGGCGAAUCCAGGCGAUAGCAGCCCCUUAAUUUUUUUCGACACCUAACACUGUGCGGUAAUCAUUUCUCUCGCGAAGAUCACAAGCUACCAGCUCUGGUGACGUCACUUCCGGUAACCUGGCGGUUGGCCAAAUCAGGAAGUGAUGUCAAAUCCAGUUUGUUCCGGGAGGAGUUAAGGCUGAUCUUCCCAUUUCUUCAUUUAGCAAUUGGAGCUCUCCGGAGCUGGAAAGGUGUAGUGACUUAAAAAGAGUUGGGGAUUUGGCAAUUGAAAAGGCCAGUUAGAUUUCAAUUCACCACAACGUAAUUUUUAGUUACAAAUAAUCCCAAAUGUACCGAUUAUAUUUAUACUAAAAAUUCACCAAAUGCCCAGCGUUUUAUCUGGCAACUUUGAUCUUGAGCAUUCCUUUGUCCUGGAGUCUGAUAAGGAUCCUGUAGGCUUUUGCUCCCCUGUGAGAUAGACUAAGUUCACCUAGAGCUGAGCUAAGAUGUG